AAGAUACUAUACACACUUGAGUCCUUCAUGUCUCCUACAGGUGAUAAGUCGGGACUGCAGGCGGUCUAGUUCAGCACCUGGACUCAUCUUCUGCAGAGCCAUGAUUUUGUAAUACGUGCUGAAUGUAGUUCGGCAUUGUCUUGCUGAAAUAUGUAAGGUCUUCCCUGAGGCAUUAAUGUUGCCUUCUCCCAUGUGUAAGCUCCACUAUCAUUGCUUUUUAACUGAGUGCAGAUAACAAGCCAAGUGGUGUUUCAUAGCAUGGGAUGUGGUGUCCAUGGUUUCCACAAGGAGUGUCAGAUUUUGAUUUGUCAGACUGCAGGACAGUUUGCUGCCUCGGGAUGAAGCCAAGAGAAGUCGGCAGAAUUUCUAGAUCAUGUUUAUGUACGGUCUCCUCUUUGCAUGGUACAGUUUGAACCUGCUUUUGUUGAUGCAGUGAUAAACCGUGUAUAUAGACAACAGUUUUUGUAAGUGGUUUUGAACCCAUGCAGUGAUUUCCACUACAGAGUCAUGUCCGAAUUUAAAGCAGUGAAGAUGAUGGCCGUCCAGUAUUGGAUUUGGUCCUGGUCCAGAUCUCUGAAUCUUUUAAUGAUAUAAUGAACUGUAGAUGAUGAAAUCCACUCAUUCUUGGGGAGCAAUAUUCUGAGGCUGUGACAGACUGUGUGAGCAAGAAGUUCAACAGAGUGGUGAAUCUUUCCCCAUCUCUUCUUCUGAGACUCAGCCUCUCUGGAGAGCUCUAUUAUUCCCAGGUAUGUUACUAACCUGUUGCAAAUCAACCUCAUUAGUGAGGAGAUGUUCCUCCAAAGCUUUUUUGUGGCAUAACAGAACUUUUUCAGUGAUUUGAUGUCCCUUUCUGAACUGUUUUGAAACCUGUGGCUCACAUAAACAUAUAAAAAUCAAGUAAAUGAUUUGCAAACAAUCAAAGUCUGUUUUUAUUAAUAUUUUACACAGCGUCCCAUCGAGGUAUUGUUUUAAGUGUCUGACAGAAAGAGAGAGUAAAGAAAGAGUAAUGUUGUACCAUCUGCACAGCAACACCAGGUUCAUAUCGACCCACUGACUGCUCUAGCAUCUCCAAAUCCUCUGAACAACCAUCACCAUCAGGCACGGCUCCCAUGGCCUUUUUAACAACCUCCAUAUCUGUGACACACCUCCUGGAUUACAGCCGUGAGAAACAGGCAGAGAAAAAUGGCGUUGAAAUGAUCCAGCUUAGCUCAGCAGACGCACGGCUUCAACGCAGCAACCGAACAGAAAAAGGAAAACAAAGCAGCUGCCACGGUCCGGCAUUUUCCUCCCAAGGUGCCAAAAACCAAAAGUGUGUACUCACCAAAGGGAAGGUCCAUACUUGAAGUGACUUGUGUAAAGUGUGGAAGUUAGGCACGGGGUGCUGCAGUGUGAGAAGGCUGUUGUUGGUGCAAGAGCGAAGGAGAGCGCCUCAUUACAGAAAGUGAGUUCAUGGAGACGGGAGAGAGGGAAAGGCCGAGGGUGGAGGGAGACAUAAAAGACGGAGAGGAGUGGAGAAUGUACUCAAGGAGGCAGCGACAAACUGAGCCGAAGAGACGUCAGAGGUUUUGUUUUGACUGAUGGAGGAAAGUCAUUUACCCUUCAGACUGAAAUCAAUGUUUUACACAAUAUUUCCAUUCCUCCAAACAUUUAUUUUCAUUAAAUAAAAUUUUUCUUCACA